UACGUAGGGUGCGAGCGUUAAUCGGAAUUACUGGGCGUAAAGCGUGCGCAGGCGGUUCGUUAAGUUCGAUGUGAAAGCCCCGGGCUCAACCUGGGAAUGGCAUUGGAAACUGGCGGACUCGAGUGUGGCAGAGGGGGGUGGAAUUCCGCGUGUAGCAGUGAAAUGCGUAGAGAUGCGGAGGAACACCGAUGGCGAAGGCAGCCCCCUGGGCUAACACUGACGCCUCAGGCACGAAAGCGUGGGGAGCAAACAGG
rnacentral:rRNA from 1 species